UUCUUGCAGGUUGGGUAGGUCCCAGGUAUAGGGGAAACUCUGCCGAAUUUUCGGCAUAAAUUAGGCUGUCUGUUGCCUCUUUAGAGUUUUAUUUUGACUUAGUACUAAUAAAUUUAUAAUCUAAUUAUUAGGUGAUCGAUGUCAGCUAUUUUCCUCCAUCCAGCAGCCAUAAUAAUCAUCGGUGUACUGCCACAGGAGGAGUUAUUUUACAGAGCAACCUGUUUUCUUCCUCGCAGGUUUAACGUCGAUUAUUUAAUUGUUUUACUAUCUUUUCUAAAUUUAAAAUCUAGAACUCCGCAUGUGUUAGUAAUAGUGUGGGCCUUGUUAGAAAUUGUGUUAAUUUAAAUUUUUGAGAUUAAUAAAUGAAGAUUUGUAUGGUAUUUAAACAGUUUGUAAAUGAGGUAACAGGGUUGAGCUGGGCUCCCCUAAUUUUAGUUUUCUGAAAAUUUCUGGGCUAAGUCGGCCUGAAAUGAAAUUAUAACAGUUUGAUUUAGAUUAUUUUAUAUGCAUAUUGGGCCUAAAUUA